AACGAACGCUGGCGGCAUGCCUAACACAUGCAAGUCGAACGAGACCUUCGGGUCUAGUGGCGCACGGGUGCGUAACGCGUGGGAACCUGCCCUUAGGUUCGGAAUAACUCACCGAAAGGGGUGCUAAUACCGGAUAAUGUCUUCGGACCAAAGAUUUAUCGUCUUUGGCUGGGCCCGCGUUGGAUUAGCUAGUUGGUAUGGUAAAAGCCUACCAAGGCGACGAUCCAUAGCUGGUCUGAGAGGAUGAUCAGCCACACUGGGACUGAGACACGGCCCAGACUCGUACGGGAGGCAGCAGUGGGGAAUGUUGGAAAAUGGGCGAAAGCCUGAUCCAGCAAUGCCGCUUGAGUGAUGAAGGCCUUAGGGUUGUAAUGCUCUUUUACCCGGGAUGAUAUUGACAGUGCCGGGAGAAUAAGCUCCGGCUAACUCCGUG
rnacentral:rRNA from 1 species